rnacentral:rRNA from 1 species
GGCACGCCUAACACAUGCAAGUCGAGCGCUCUAACCACUUCGGUGGGGACGGGAGCGGCGGACGGGUUAGUAACGCGUGGGAACAUACCCUUUUCUACGGAAUAGCCUCGGGAAACUGAGAGUAAUACCGUAUACGCCCUUCGGGGGAAAGAUUUAUCGGUUAAGGAUUGGCCCGCGUUAGAUUAGUUAGUUGGUGGGGUAACGGCCUACCAAGACGACGAUCUAUAGCUGGUUUGAGAGGAUGAUCAGCAACACUGGGACUGAGACACGGCCCAGACUCCUACGGGAGGCAGCAGUGGGGAAUCUUAGACAAUGGGCGCAAGCCUGAUCUAGCGAUGCCGCGUGAGUGAAGAAGGCCUUAGGGUCGUAAAGCUCUUUCGCCUGUGAUGAUAAUGACAGUAGCAGGUAAAGAAACCCCGGCUAACUCCGUGCCAGCAGCCGCGGUAAUACGGAGGGGGUUAGCGUUGUUCGGAAUUACUGGGCGUAAAGC